GACGAACGCUGGCGGCGUGCUUAACACAUGCAAGUCGAGCGGUAAGGCCCUUUCGGGGGUACGACGAGCGGCGAACGGGUGAGUAACACGUGGGUGACCUGCCCUCAGCUCUGGGAUAAGCCUGGGAAACCGGGUCUAAUACCGGAUAUGACUCCAUGACGCAUGUUGUGGGGUGGAAAGCCUUGUGCGGCUGAGGAUGGGCCCGCGGCCUAUCAGCUUGUUGGUGGGGUGAUGGCCUACCAAGGCGACGACGGGUAGCCGGCCUGAGAGGGCGACCGGCCACACUGGGACUGAGACACGGCCCAGACUCCUACGGGAGGCAGCAGUGGGGAAUCUUGCGCAAUGGGGCGAAAGCCUGACGCAGCGACGCCGCGUGAGGGAUGACGGCC
rnacentral:rRNA from 1 species